rnacentral:rRNA from 1 species
AUUGAACGCUGGCGGAAUGCUUUACACAUGCAAGUCGAACGGUAGAGGGGGCAACCCCUCGAGAGUGGCGAACGGGUGAGUAAUAUAUCGGAACGUGCCCAGUCGUGGGGGAUAACGUAGCGAAAGUUACGCUAAUACCGCAUACGAUCUAAGGAUGAAAGCGGGGGAUCGCAAGACCUCGCGCGAUUGGAGCGGCCGAUAUCAGAUUAGGUAGUUGGUGGGGUAAAGGCUCACCAAGCCAACGAUCUGUAGCUGGUCUGAGAGGACGACCAGCCACACUGUAACUGAGACACGGUGCAGACUCCUACGGGAGGAAGCAGUGGGGAAUUUCGGACAAUGGACGCAAGUCUGAUCCAGCCAUUCCGCGUGCAGGAUGAAGGCCCUCGGGUUGUAAACUGCUUUUGUACGGAACGAAAAGGUCUCUCUUAAUACGGGGGACUCAUGACGGUACCGUAAGAAUAAGCACCGGCUAACUACGUGCCAGCAGCCGCCGUAA